rnacentral:piRNA from 1 species
UAUCCCAUCCAAAGGCUGUCCAA